rnacentral:misc_RNA from 1 species
GAGCUUGGCAAAUUAGUGGUUACAAGUAGAACUAGUAUUCUAUGCAUCUUAAUGUUACUGGCACAUCUGUUGGAAUUUUGGAGUCCAGAAGUUGAAAAAUCAAUUGUCACUUUUUUGAACUGCUCUCGGGCUAUGCCAUUGCAUGUUAGUGAAAGGACUUAGUACUUGUGAAGACUUAGGAAAUAAAAACAAGUUUCUGGUUGAUAUGGGCAGUCAGUUUGAAUCUUUUUGUACUGAAUUGAGACUUGAAGCUAUCCUUAGCAUGAAUGAGUUCAUCUCUAGCACACUCCAUCUGAAGUUAAUUUGUUCGUAACAUAAAUUAUUAAAAACUUACCACUCUUGAAUUAGUUACAUUAGUUGAUGUUCAUAUACUAGGCAUAGUAUUUAUCUG